GCCUCCCCCCUGCCCCGGGGGUCGGGACCGCUUUUGGAUGCCAGCGGUUCGCUUCUGUCCUUACCCUUUGGCUCGUCCAUCAGUGCCGCACGAAUUACCUUAGAGCUGCCGCGUUACCAGCGCCCGGGGGUCCUCCGACGGGCCGUGCAGAGCUGGCUAGGGGUAGCCGAGGGAACGGCCACCGCUGUGGCUGGGACCGCGGACUGAACCACGGUUGGAUCACCGGCUCCGAGGGGGUGGAGAUGUCAUUGUGGCUGCAAAGAUAUGAUACUGCUGUAUGCAUCUCACCUGAUUUAGAUCUUGUUAAAUGAAUGACAAGUCAAUGUGAUCCCACAUCCUAG